CAAAGUCGAGCGGACAGAUGGGAGCUUGCUCCCUGAUGUUAGCGGCGGACGGGUGAGUAACACGUGGGUAACCUGCCUGUAAGACUGGGAUAACUCCGGGAAACCGGGGCUAAUACCGGAUGGUUGUUUGAACCGCAUGGUUCAAACAUAAAAGGUGGCUUCGGCUACCACUUACAGAUGGACCCGCGGCGCAUUAGCUAGUUGGUGAGGUAACGGCUCACCAAGGCAACGAUGCGUAGCCGACCUGAGAGGGUGAUCGGCCACACUGGGACUGAGACACGGCCCAGACUCCUACGGGAGGCAGCAGUAGGGAAUCUUCCGCAAUGGACGAAAGUCUGACGGAGCAACGCCGCGUGAGUGAUGAAGGUUUUCGGAUCGUAAAGCUCUGUUGUUAGGGAAGAACAAGUACCGUUCGAAUAGGGCGGUACCUUGACGGUACCUAACCAGAAAGCCACGGCUAACUACGUGCCAGCAGCCGCGGUAAUACGUAGGUGGCAAGCGUUGUCCGGAAUUAUUGGGCGUAAAGGGCUCGCAGGCGGUUUCUUAAGUCUGAUGUGAAAGCCCCCGGCUCAACCGGGGAGGGUCAUUGGAAACUGGGGAACUUGAGUGCAGAAGAGGAGAGUGGAAUUCCACGUGUAGCGGUGAAAUGCGUAGAGAUGUGGAGGAACACCAGUGGCGAAGGCGACUCUCUGGUCUGUAACUGACGCUGAGGAGCGAAAGCGUGG
rnacentral:rRNA from 1 species